GAUGAACGCUGGCGGCGUGCCUAAUACAUGCAAGUCGAGCGAACGGACGAGAAGCUUGCUUCUCUGAUGUUAGCGGCGGACGGGUGAGUAACACGUGGAUAACCUACCUAUAAGACUGGGAUAACUUCGGGAAACCGGAGCUAAUACCGGAUAAUAUUUUGAACCGCAUGGUUCAAAAGUGAAAGACGGUCUUGCUGUCACUUAUAGAUGGAUCCGCGCUGCAUUAGCUAGUUGGUAAGGUAACGGCUUACCAAGGCAACGAUGCAUAGCCGACCUGAGAGGGUGAUCGGCCACACUGGAACUGAGACACGGUCCAGACUCCUACGGGAGGCAGCAGUAGGGAAUCUUCCGCAAUGGGCGAAAGCCUGACGGAGCAACGCCGCGUGAGUGAUGAAGGUCUUCGGAUCGUAAAACUCUGUUAUUAGGGAAGAACAUAUGUGUAAGUAACUGUGCACAUCUUGACGGUACCUAAUCAGAAAGCCACUGCUAACUACGU
rnacentral:rRNA from 1 species